rnacentral:misc_RNA from 1 species
UACGGAGGGGGCUAGCGUUGUUCGGAAUUACUGGGCGUAAAGGGCGCGUAGGCGGCACGAUAAGUCAGAGGUGAAAGCCCUGGGCUCAACCUGGGAACUGCCUUUGAAACUGACGUGCUAGAGUCCGGGAGAGGAUGGUGGAACUCCCAGUGUAGAGGUGAAAUUCGUAGAUAUUGGGAAGAACACCGGUGGCGAAGGCGACCAUCUGGACCGGAACUGACGCUGAGGCGCGAAAGCGUGGGGAGCAAACAGG